rnacentral:lncRNA from 1 species
CGGGGCGCGUGCACACACGCCUUCAAAUCUUCCCUUAAAACAUGUCAACCAACCCUUCGGCAACCGCGCUAACAGCACCAAAUGAGCUAUUUCCCCCGAUAGUAGCGCUCCCUAGUCUGUUAAAUGUAGACAUUGGAUUAGAUUACACAAAAGAAUAUAUAACAGAGAGAAAUACAGCAAACGACAAUCCGUUAUGGCAGACUUGUAGGGAAAGACAAAUAGCUCGCCAUGUUUUUAUUGAUUGACAUGAGACGUGUCCAACCCGGUAAGAGGCCAAAUUUGAAAUAGUGUGCGUCACCGCUGUCUUAGCCAAUCGAGUUGCAGCAGGGGCGGGUUUUUGUGUGUCCGUUACGCAGGAAGCACAGUGGUUAGAAUAAGGGAGAAUCCAAUCCGGUUUGAGCUAGUUUUCUUCCAAUGGAACAUUAACGACUCGCUGCGCUGUAUUAGACUGUAGUGUCACGGCUUUAUCCAGAAAAUACCACUGUAUUUUUGCCUCAAUUCUAUACCAACUUCUUUCUUUUUCUUUUCUCCAAAACACCUCAUUUUAACCAACCAUGCCUAAAAGGAGCAAAAUAGCCAUAGAUGAGGCAGCGCCCAAAAGGAGAUCGUUGAGGUUGGGGGACAAAGCAGAGCCAGCAAAGGCAGAGCCCAAAACAAAGCCAAAGAAGGCGCCUGCGAAAGCUAAAAAAGCCAAGGAGGUGGAAAAGGCCAAGCCUGAGGAGAAAGCAGACGAUGCCCCUGCAGAGAACGGUGAAGCCAAAGCUGAGGAAGAGGUAAGUGGUUACUUGUGACAUUUGAAAUAAUAGACGUAUAACUUAACUCAAAGUAUGCUCCUAAUUUCUGAAUUUUUUUCCACAGGCCGCUGCUACGGACGCCGCUGAGGAAAAGGACGAGGCAGCAGAAUAACAUCUUUCCAGCUUCACACUCCCUGUACCUCUUUUCUUGUACAAUUCAGGGGAAUAUUUUUAUCAGCUAUUUUCUAAAAAAAAAAAAAAAAAGGUUUUUUAGUAGUUUGAUUGUAGAAUACACUUCUUUUUUUUUUAAAAGGGGGAAAAAGUCAAUUGGCAAAAGGAAGUUAAUCACAUCCUCGUGAUUAUGCCAUCAUUGUUGUUACAGUGAGUGGAUUUCAUUUCAGUUCUAAAUGUGAAGGUGUGUGGGGGGCGGGGUGGGUGGGGGGCAGAAACAGGUAAGCAUGUCAACAGGCAAGGCGGAGGAUUACAUUCCAUAUGCUUUAUAAGGGACUGUGUAUGUGAACUUUGCCAGGGAGGGAUGGACAACUCAUUGUUUUAUUGUUUAUAAUGAAGAACAGUGUUUUAGAAUGUUUGUAAGCUUUGUUCAUUGUCUUUAACUCUUGUACUCAUGCAGUUUUCUGAACCAAUUCGAUCAAUAAAGCUAAAGUCCGUAGUACUGGAGCUCUCCCU